AUAUAGACAAGAGGUUAAAUGAGCGGUGGAAUAAAUGGGUGCUGGACGGGAUGUAAUUUGCACGUCUUGUCACCGCGUUCCCGGUACAGGAUUGUUAUGCAAGAUUGACUAGCACGUGAACACAUGGUUCAUUUCGUCACGCAACAGCUCAAAGUGUUGAAAAUGUAUCGUUGGUGAGGCCGUUCCCGCGCAGGUUCCCGCAUGCAACCACGCAGGUUCUCACAUGCAACCGUGCAAAGCUUCCCCACCCGGCUCAGCUCGACAUGCAUUGGCUAGAAGAAGCUCCCAUUAUUGUGAGCAUUAAAUGACAAACGGUUGGCAAAAACAAAGUGUGUGCAAUGACUUAAAGUAGCGCACACAUUCAACACUAUGUAGCGGGUGUGACGAUGUGAAUGAUCGCUGUCGAUUGUGUAAUAUAGUUCAUUUGCAAUGAUAUCAGGAAGGAAAACACAAGCCAGAAUGGAGAAUGGUAAUUAAAUCAAGUCGGUUACAUGUUAAUGUGUAGAUAUCAAUCAUCAAUUUCAUAUUUAAGUUAUAAUGGUUCUUCAAAAAUAGUGUUUACAAAACCGUGUGUGGUAAGUGUCACUCUCGUGCUUUAUGGACUACCCUGAUCUGUGUAAAUCCUAUGGUUGCAGACUUACGAUCAAGGGGAAUGCGUUCUGGAUGAUCAUUACACGCGCGUCAUGGCACAAUGUUAGUCAUCGCACAAGGUUUCAAUCCGGUAAAAUAACCAAGUUUACAAAUCGGUUCGAUAAGUCCUUUUUGUGUGGCACCUGGUUUUUUUACCACGGUCAACAAGUUUCACGGUAAGUAUAGCAUUUUUUACCGUAAUAUGCAUAGUGUUAAAAAUGCCAAUACUCACAUGUAGAUGCGCAUGAUGUGGGCCAAUGGUUGCUAGUAUAUUAAUAUUCCAUCAACUAAACUGAUUGCAGCUCAAGACUGCAAUUACAUUGCUCUUCGUACUACUACUUCAUUAAACAAAGUCUUACCAAGGUCUAGAUCAACACAUAAUAAACAUACUCAAGCAUACAUAUAAGACGCACAAACUAGAUAGCUAGGGUAGUUCUGUACAUGUAUAUAUAACUCAAUCCUGAUCAUACCCACCAACAAUGUAAACUUUCUAUAGGCACUUCGCGUAUUCAACGUGCGCCACCCUGUGAGAAUACUUCUGCUUGAAGGAUCCAACUACUCAUCGUCUAUCAUGCGCAAGAACACUUACAAACAUGGGGUUAAGCCUAUGGGCGUAGAACGGGCAUCCGAAGCCCCCAUUUUGGGCCCUCAUACAACGGUUAUUCUUUCCCGCAUAGAGCUCCCUAAGCUUUUGUUUCUUGUACUUCUUGUGUUAAUAUUUAUCGCGGUCAACGUCGUCAGAUAUCAACUAUACAUAUAAUAAAAAAUCACGACAUUGAUAGAUGAAAUGCAUAACAUGAUAUCACAAAAAACCUAUAGCACAACAAAAUUAUUAACUAAUGACUAUAAAUGCACGAACUGAUUAUUAUCAAACAAACUAGGAGUAGUAACUUUGAAGUACUACUCCAUGUAU
rnacentral:lncRNA from 1 species